rfam:Ipomoea nil DNA, scaffold: scaffold3056, cultivar: Tokyo-kokei standard.
CCGACCUUAGCUCAGUUGGUAGAGCGGAGGACUGUAGUUUGAUUAAUCUAAGUCGGAAAUCCUUAGGUCGCUGGUUCGAAUCCGGCAGGUUGGA